rnacentral:rRNA from 1 species
CGCAUCAGUUAGUUGGUGGGGUAACGGCCUACCAAGACAAUGACGCGUAGCGGGUUUGAGAGGAUGAUCCGCCACACUGGUACUGAGACACGGACCAGACUCCUACGGGAGGCAGCAGUGAGGAAUAUUGCACAAUGGGGGAAACCCUGAUGCAGCAACGCCGCGUGGAGGAUGACGCAUUUCGGUGUGUAAACUCCUUUUAUGAGUCAAGAAAAUGACGGUAGCUCAUGAAUAAGCACCGGCUAACUCCGUGCCAGCAGCCGCGGUAAUACGGAGGGUGCAAGCGUUACUCGGAAUCACUGGGCGUAAAGGACGCGUAGGCGGGUUAUCAAGUCAGGUGUGAAAUCCUAUGGCUCAACCAUAGAACUGCACUUGAAACUGGUAACCUAGAGUAUGGGAGGGGCAGAUGGAAUUAGUAGUGUANGGGGUAAAAUCCGUAGAUAUUACUAGGAAUACCUAAGGCGAAGGCGAUCUGCUGGAACAUUACUGACGCUAAGGCGUGAAAGCGUGGGGAGCAAACGGGAUUAGAUACCCCGGUAGUCCACGCCCUAAACUUAUUUUCGCUAGUCGUCGGGGAGCUAGUCUCUUCGGUGAUGCACUUAACAGAUUAAGUGUUCCGCCUGGGGAGUACGGUCGCAAGAUUAAAACUCAAAGGAAUAGACGGGGACCCGCACAAGUGGUGGAGCAUGUGGUUUAAUUCGAAGAUACGCGAAGAACCUUACCUAGCCUUGACAUUGAUAGAACACCGUAGAGAUACAGUGGUGCCCUUCGGGGAACUUGAAAACAGGUGCUGCACGGCUGUCGUCAGCUCGUGUCGUGAGAUGUUGGGUUAAGUCCCGCAACGAGCGCAACCCUCGUCCUUAGUUGCCAGCAGGUUAAGCUGGGCACUCUAAGGAGACUGCCUUCGCAAGGAGGAGGAAGGUGAGGACGACGUCAAGUCAUCAUGGCCCUUAUGGCUAGGGCUACACACGUGCUACAAUGGGGCGUACAGAGAGUUGCGAUACCGCGAGGUGGAGCCAAUCUCAUAAAGCGUCUCUCAGUUCGGAUUGGAGUCUGCAACUCGACUCCAUGAAGCUGGAAUCACUAGUAAUCGUAGAUCAGCAAUGCUACGGUGAAUACGUUCCCGGGUCUUGUACUCACCGCCCGUCACACCAUGGGAGUUGAUUUCACCCGAAAUUGGGAAGCUAACCUUCGGGGGGCUACCACUUACGGUGGAAUUAGCGACUGGGGUG